AUCCAGCUGACGAGUCCCAAUUGGGAAGAAACGCGUGUCUUAGAU
rfam:Schistosoma margrebowiei strain Zambia genome assembly, scaffold: SMRZ_contig0001730